ensembl:lncRNA
UACAGAACAGAAGACUUCUGCAAACACAAUUUGACACUUCCUAUUGAUUGAAGUAAUGGAGCAGCAAAUUCUACCAACUUGCAUAAAAGCACCUUUGGUCUGCAUUAAAAUCCCUGUAGAAGAUCCAGUGAUGUCAGUGCCGUGCUGUUCACCUGUGUGUUCUCACUCCAGAUGUCAGAAGCUGAAGCUGUGACUCCAGGAGCCGAGGCAGAGCCUGUUGCUCCUGCAGCAGGAGUGUCCCUUGGUGCUGUGCAGGUGAGCCUGGCUCAGGAGCAAGGUGCUGCUCCCUGCUGUGUCAGGAGCUGCCUGCAGGAGCUCAUCUCCCCCUGCAUCCCCUCACACCAGAUGGAAGUGUUCAACAAGCCUGCCUUCUCAGUACUGUGCAAGCUGCUGCAGAAUCUGUUUAAGCACUGCUGCUGUUUAUGAGAACACAGGUGUAGGGAGUGGAAAGUGCAGUCCUUGGGCACAUGAAACGUGACUUUGAGGGAAAAAAAUUCUGUCAGAUUCACAAGGAAAACAGACUUGAAAGUAAAGCAAAUAUUUUUUCACACUUGUUUAAGUUUUAUCACUCAGCUGUGCUAUUUCUAGUAGUUGUAGACAUAACAUUUUGCAGGAAGAAUUUUGACAGAUCUAUUCAGCUGGCAGCACUGAGUUUCCCUGUGCUGAUACCACAUCUUGCCAGCAGUGCUGUCCUGUGGUGAGAACUGUGCUCAGUCACCUACAAGACAACUGGCUGCCCUCAUGAUGCAUUUCCAUUUUCUGGAGCCAGAGAUAGGAUGUGCCCAACUAGACCAGGAGUUCAAACAACCCAACACGUCCAUUCUUGUUUGGUGAAAAUGUGGUUUGUGUUCUUGGAGCAAAGCAAUUACAGCCUCUGCAUGGUCACAGGUUCUGCUAAUUACUGGUAAGACUGUUGAGCAUCAAAAACCCCACAACAAACAAAGCAAAGCAAAGCAAACCAGCCGAGGAUACUCAGCCUAGCAAGUGUCCUGCCUCACUCCCAGUUUUGCUGCUUUUAGCCCCGGGCUAAGGGUACUGCUGAGACAAGAGUGAUUCACCCCUGGAGCUCCAGCCAAGCCAAGGCUUUAGCUCCCUGCUGACCCAUGAUCUGUGCCUCCUUUCUGUCCUUUCUGUCCUGGAGCAGAGCCUGAGGUGCUCUGCCCUCGCAUUCAACAGCCCAGAGCCCGCGAGGGAAACUGGGGACAGACUCAGGGUCCACGUGCUCCAGUUUCCAGGGAAUCCGUGGCCAGGGGAGCACUGGCCCGUGGUGUGGUAUGGCACCAGCUUGCAGGUGGCUUUGCUUCUAAGCUUAAAGGCUUGGGGAGAUCAACAAUUUUCCUGUUAAGGAGAAAUCUGCGACACCUACUUGAGCAAACCCUUCAACAUGAACUUAGGCAGGACUGUGUCUAUCCAGCUUGGGAGAUGCAGAGUCCUUCAGUGGCUGUUGUUUUCUACAUUUCUUUGAGAAUUUUGUGUGUGUGUUUUCUGCAGAAAGACAGAAAAAUCACUGAAGGAAUUACUCUUUUUUUUAUUCUUUUAAUUUGCUCCUAAGGAAAUUGAAAGGGAGGAAAUCUCACCAGGAGGAACACCCACGUGCAGGUACCAAAUGCCUGCAUGCACCUACAUUCAAAGGAUGCAAAGAGGCUGAAUUUAAAAUGUGCUACAGAACAAAGUAGGGCCAGCUGGAGGAUUUCCUGCUGGAGAAAGGAAAAGCCUGUGGAGGCAGUGGGUCGGAAUGCUGAGCAGUGACACAUUCCUCAUGGCUGUAAAUAGUGUGUUUGGGAGGAGGGGACAGGGAAUAUCUUGGUUUGGUUAUUUGCAUGAGUGGACUCUUCCAGUUAAUGAUUUCCUUUUUCAUUUAGCAUUCAAAAUGUUUGCGAGGUUUUGUAUAUGUAUAUAAAUAUAUACAUAUACAUAAAAUACAUACAGAAAAUAUAUACAUAUACAUAUACAUAUACAUAUACAUAUACAUAUACAUAUACAUAUACAUAUACAUAUACAUAUACAUAUACAUAUACAUAUACAUAUACAUAUACA